GAGGUCAAUUGAGUCUUCGGUGGAGUCCAAAGUCGGACUGGUUCUGAGCAGGACCGCGGCUCUGUCUGGUCGGCAUUGUGGUAUGCUCGACGCCUCGACCGAGAUAGGACAAUCCUUUGCCCUGAGCAGGACGAUCCAUUUUGCACCCCAUCAACAUGCAUGCUCAGAAACAUUCCCAAUUAAACAUGGAGCUCAAAUCCAGCUUUCCAUGUUUCAC
rnacentral:lncRNA from 1 species